rnacentral:rRNA from 1 species
GAUGAACGCUGGCGGCGUGCCUAAUACAUGCAAGUCGAGCGGACAGACGAGGAUCUUGCUCCUCUGACGUUAGCGGCGCACGGGUGAGUAACACGUGUAUAACCUACCUAUAAGACUGGGAUAACUUCGGGAAACCGGCGCAAAUACCGGAUGAUAUAUUGAACCGCGUGGUUCAUUAGUGAAAGACGGUUUUGCGGUCACGUAUAGAUGGAUCCGCGCCGCAUUAGCUAGUUGGUGAGGUAACGGCUUACCAAGGCAACCAUGCGUAGCCGAACUGAGAGGGUGAUCGGCCACACUGGAACUGAGACACGGUCCAGGCUCCUACGGUACGCAGCAGUAGGGAAUCUUCUGCAAUGGGCGAAAGCCUGACGGAGCACCGCCGCGUCAGUUAUAGAGGUCUUCGGAUCGGAAAACUCUGCUAUUAGUGAAGAACAAAUGUGUAAUUUACUAUGCACGUCUUGACGGUACCUAAUCAGAAAGCCCCGGCUAACUACGUG